AUGAACGCUAGCUACAGGCUUAACACAUGCAAGUCGAGGGGCAGCAUGAACUUAGCUUGCUAAGUUUGAUGGCGACCGGCGCACGGGUGAGUAACACGUAUCCAACCUGCCGAUGACUCGGGGAUAGCCUUUCGAAAGAAAGAUUAAUACCCGAUGGCAUAGUUCUUCCGCAUGGUCGAGCUAUUAAAGAAUUUCGGUCAUCGAUGGGGAUGCGUUCCAUUAGGUUGUUGGCGGGGUAACGGCCCACCAAGCCUUCGAUGGAUAGGGGUUCUGAGAGGAAGGUCCCCCACAUUGGAACUGAGACACGGUCCAAACUCCUACGGGAGGCAGCAGUGAGGAAUAUUGGUCAAUGGACGAGAGUCUGAACCAGCCAAGUAGCGUGAAGGAUGACUGCCCUAUGGGUUGUAAACUUCUUUUAUACGGGAAUAAAGUGAGGCACGUGUGCCUUUUUGUAUGUACCGUAUGAAUAAGGAUCGGCUAACUCCGUGCCAGCAGCCGCGGUAAUACGGAGGAUCCGAGCGUUAUCCGGAUUUAUUGGGUUUAAAGGGAGCGUAGGCGGACGCUUAAGUCAGUUGUGAAAGUUUGCGGCUCAACCGUAAAAUUGCAGUUGAUACUGGGUGUCUUGAGUACAGUAGAGGCAGGCGGAAUUCGUGGUGUAGCGGUGAAAUGCUUAGAUAUCACGAAGAACUCCGAUUGCGAAGGCAGCUUGCUGGACUGUAACUGACGCUGAUGCUCGAAAGUGUGGGUAUCAAACAGGAUUAGAUACCCUGGUAGUCCACACAGUAAACGAUGAAUACUCGCUGUUUGCGAUAUACAGUAAGCGGCCAAGCGAAAGCGUUAAGUAUUCCACCUGGGGAGUACGCCGGCAACGGUGAAACUCAAAGGAAUUGACGGGGGCCCGCACAAGCGGAGGAACAUGUGGUUUAAUUCGAUGAUACGCGAGGAACCUUACCCGGGCUUGAAUUGCAACUGAAUGAUGUGGAGACAUGUCAGCCGCAAGGCAGUUGUGAAGGUGCUGCAUGGUUGUCGUCAGCUCGUGCCGUGAGGUGUCGGCUUAAGUGCCAUAACGAGCGCAACCCUUAUCGAUAGUUACCAUCAGGUUAUGCUGGGGACUCUGUCGAGACUGCCGUCGUAAGAUGUGAGGAAGGUGGGGAUGACGUCAAAUCAGCACGGCCCUUACGUCCGGGGCUACACACGUGUUACAAUGGGGGGUACAGAAGGCAGCUACACGGCGACGUGAUGCUAAUCCCUAAAGCCUCUCUCAGUUCGGAUUGGAGUCUGCAACCCGACUCCAUGAAGCUGGAUUCGCUAGUAAUCGCGCAUCAGCCACGGCGCGGUGAAUACGUUCCCGGGCCUUGUACACACCGCCCGUCAAGCCAUGAAAGCCGGGGGUACCUGAAGUGCGUAACCGCAAGGAGCGCCCUAGGGUAAAACUGGUGAUUGGGGCU
rnacentral:rRNA from 1 species